CCGUUAAAAUAAAAUUAUUUGUAUUGUUUCAUGAAAAAAACUAAUUAUGAUAACACAAAAUUGUUCUAUAACUGAAAUUGGAAUUAAACAAGUAAGAACAACCGCAUAAGAUUUUGAGCAGUGUUGAAAUGGUAGUAGCAGUAAGGGAAAUAUGUUCCAUAGAUUUUGACAUAUCUUCUUCUCUAACUUCUUAACUUCAUAUUCUCAUCACUGCACCACGCUUGACGUCACACCACCAUUUCAUCUUCCCGUUUCAUCAUUAUUUUCUCAGAUCUAUAAAUAAAACAAAAAAAAAAAUCAAUUACAAAUAUCAUAACAAGAGGAAGAGAAAGAGAGUGUGUAAUAAGAGGAAGGGAGACGAGAUAUUGACCAUAAACAAACAAAGGUUUGAGCAUUGAAACUGAUGUUGAACCAGAUCAGAUAUUAACCCUAAAAAAAGAUUCAAAACAGAGGGAGGGGGAAGAGCAGAGGGAGAGAAAAAAACCAGAUUUGCUUAGCUCUGAUACCACCAUCGCCUCAGAGACACGUUGCCUCUUCCUCUGCCAUCUCCAGCUCUGGUUAGCCAUGAGAUUCAAAUUUAUUUAGAUCUGAGUUUUUUCUUAAAUAAACAGAGAACAAGAAGAGAUGAAACACCAAGAUGAAAUAUAUAAGAUUCAAAAAACAAGAAGAGGAAAUCAUGUAAAAUCUGAGAUUGAAAACUAAUUGAAAGAAUGUUAAGAAGAUGAAAGAACGAGUGAUAGAAAGAUAAACAGAUGAAAACUUUUGUUUACUGCAAAACGUCUUUUCAGAAUUAAUGCACAAACG
rnacentral:lncRNA from 1 species